rnacentral:lncRNA from 1 species
UAAUGUGAAUAAGGAGCGAGAAUAUUAUCAUGGAGGCCAAAACUCUGUUUAUGUGUGUUUUCUUCUUGAUUUCUAUUUUUGCUGCUCGUAAGUUGUUUUUUCCUAUCAAAUCUCGCUCUUGUACACGGUGAAUUACAUAAGAGUUUUAUACCUUAAACUUGCAUGCACUCACUCAUACAUAUGCUAAUGCACAUAUAUAUAUAUAUAUAUAUAUAUAUAUAUAUAUAUAUAUAUGUAUCUUUUCUUUUCUUUUUUGGAAAUGCACUUACAUUUUACACCUAGUGAAAUAUACUGUACCUUAAACUCGUACACAAUCGCACACACGUACUUAUUAGUAAGUAAUUAUCAAUACACAUAUAUCGUGAAAUCUUAUUUAAUGAAGGCCACUAAGCAAUCAUCUUACUUAACUUUUUUUUUGCCUUCUAAUUUUGGUAUAUUGCAGAGGAGAGCAUGGGUAAUCAAUGUUUUGAUCCACAAAAAAGACAAUGUAGAGUCGGCGGCGAUGAUUGCUUGAAACGGUGUUCCGCGUUAGGCUACAGACGUGGCCUUUGUUUUAGAACAUCAUCUACUUCAACGCUAUGUAUGUGUGAAUGCGAUUAGUCUAAAUUAUUAUUCUAAUUGAUCGAUCUCAGCAUAUCGUAAUUUAUCUACACGAUUGUGUUGAGUUUUGAAUAAAAAUGGAAUAAAUAUCUUCGUGAUUGUGAAUUGACAAUAUACCAUUUUUUUGCACAUUGCUUUAACUUUUAAUUUAGUAGAGCCAUGUUAUAAGAUUUAUGCAAGUUAACAUAAAUAAAUAAUUGGAGUAAUAUCUACAUACUUUUAAGUUUUAGGUUUUUUGAUUUUAUAG